rnacentral:rRNA from 1 species
GACGAACGCUGGCGGCGUGCUUAACACAUGCAAGUCGAACGGUAAGGCCCUCGGGGUACCCGAGUUGCCAACCGGUGAGUAACACGUGGGGGAUCUGCCCUUCACUUCGGGGUAAGCCUGGGAAACUGGGUCUUAUUACGGAUAGGACCACUGGCCGCCUGGGUGGGGGGGGAAAUCUUUUGCGGGGUGGGAUGGGCCCGCGGCCUAUCAGCUUGUUGGUGGGGUGAUGGCCUACCAAGGCGACGACGGGUAGCCGGCCUGAGAGGGUGACCGGCCACACUGGGACUGAGAUACGGCCCAGACUCCUACGGGAGGCAGCAGUGGGGAAUAUUGCACAAUGGGCGCAAGCCUGAUGCAGCGACGCCGCGUGAGGGAUGACGGCCUUCGGGUUGUAAACCUCUUUCAGCACCGACGAAGCGCAAGUGACGGUAGGUGCAGAAGAAGGACCGGCCAACUACGUGCCAGCCGCCGCAGUAA